rnacentral:lncRNA from 1 species
UGAACUUGCUUCACAGCUUCGUUCAAGACCAUAACAACUCUUACCUACAGGCUUUGAGUUACAAAUAAUCUCAUGCUUUGAGCACUGAGAAACACAUGGUAACCUUCCCACAGGUUAGGAGGUUUACCGCACAUACACCCCUAAUUUUACAUGGUUUGAGGCUUAUGAAACCUAGGUUACAAUCUGCUAUUUAUAACCUAAACACCCAACUGGAUUUGGGCCUUCAGAAAUCGCAGCAAACUUC